rnacentral:lncRNA from 1 species
AUAUAUAUAUAUAUAUAUAUAUAUAUAUAUAUAUAUAUAUAUAUAUAUAACUUUAGUAACACUUUACAAUAAGAUUCCAUUUAUAAACAUUGUGUUAACAUGAACAAUAUUUAUAUAGCAUUCAUUCAUGUCAGUUAAUAUUCCAAACUUAAACAUUAAAACAUUGUUUUAUUGUGAUUUUUUUCCAAGCACAUUUUACCAAUUCCAAACCAUAUCAAUCUUAAUAACUACCAUUAUUUUUUAUUUAAUCAUUUAUGAGUGCUAUACAAUAGUCCAGGAAAGCUGGAAGAGAAAAACAGGUCAAGAAGAACUGACAAAAAGAAUUGCAAAAUAAUUAGGAAAUAAUGUGAAGAUUAAUUUUUAGUCAAUUCUGCAAGACAGACUUUCAGGAAAGGAGGUGGAAUAAAAAUGAGCUCCUAAAUCUUAAUCCCGGAUUCUGGAAGAUAUAUUCCUCAAACCAUCGGACAAGAGGAGGUGGUGCUGGUCCUUCACGAGUCACUCUAAUCUGUUCAUUAAGCCUAUAUAUAAAGACUUAAUAUAUAGUAUUUCACAAUACUUCAUGGUAUUCUAAUUAAAUAAUUUUUUGGAAUCUUAGAUCUCUCAGAACCUGACACCGAGUAAUUCUGAGACUCCAGGAAAGUGGCAGUUCUGUAAAAUGUUGGCGCUGGAGACUAAAUGCUCCCUGAUAGUUUCACACCUAAUUCACUUAACACACACACAAACACACACACACACACACACACACAUUAACCACAGUGACAGAGGGACAGAGUGACAUCAGAUGUAUGAUAGUUUUUUAAUUUUCUAUCAUCCAUAUAGUGUUGUAUAGCCAUGAAACUAUGCAUAUUUCCUCAGAAUGACUUGUAUUCUAUGUGUACAAAAAAUAAAAGACAUUUACUGGUUACUUUUUUACUGUUAUUUCAAAAAAUCACCACGACAAAACCAUUCAAGCUAUCCAAAAUUCAUUCGCACCUGUUCUGUAAGAUAAAUUCUUUAAACAGUGGUAAAAGAGGAUGUGGUGCUGAACCUUCAAGAGUCACUCAAAACGUAUCUGUCCAUAAAGCCUAUAAAGAAUUAUUCUUAAUAUACAGUUCACAAUACUUCAGCUUGUUAUUCUAAUUAAGUGAGGGUCAUUUUAUCAGUAAAAUACAUAAAAUACAUAUUAUUUUUCUUUGAAAGAUUUCUAUAAAUGAUUUAAAUCAUACUUGUUUCUACAAUAAUUAUUUAAAAGUAAUCCUAUAGCUCCAUCUGGUGGCCAUUAUUGGUACUAAGAAUUGCAAGCUUCAUUUAUAAGUUAUGAUAGUUUUAAUUUUAUGCUGGCUCUUGAAAAUGAUAAAGCUAUGAAACUUACUGUGCUUCCUUCAAAUGAUGACUUCUACCUAUAUAAAAAAUUAUGAAGAGUUUGGAAUGAAAAAAAUUAAAGAUAUAGUAAAAUAACUAUUGUAUUUUUUUAUGUUACUUUAAUAAAUCGCUAUGGCCACACCAUUUAAGGUAUCCUAAACCCAUUCGCAAUUUAACAUUUUCAGUAUAUUGGCUUCAUGUUAAAAAAAAGUUUGGUGUGAACUACUUGUGUCUUCUUGGAGGAGUAUGAAUUAAUUUACAGGCUUAUUUUAUCAUAAAUCCACAAUAGAAUUUCUGAGCUCUGUAUCAAUCUGUGUUGUUGUUUGUUUAUUUUUAUUUUUUUAUUUUUCAUAGGAAGAUAACUGACCCUUUACUCUCCUUUUUAAUAAAUGUGCUUAUAAACCAAAAACAAGCUAUUUAUAGCUGUAUUUAUAAACUGCUUACUACUGACUAUUAAUAUUGGGACAAGGCUUUAUAAAGCAUGAACUGACUAUUUACUUUUUGAGUUUGAAAUUAUUAUUUGCAGCACAAAUAAGGUUUUUGGGGAUUUUUAAAAAUCCCUAAAACUGUCAGAAAAGGAUAAGGCCUAAGAUUUCUAUGUGAGUGGCUAAAUUUAUUUGUUUUUAUAACUAUAAUGCAUAAACUAUGAAAUUAUACAAAAUGUAUAAAAAAGUACAACAGUUAUUGUUUUCCAAUGUUUUUUAUUUAUUUAUUUUUUUUUUUUUUUUUGGAUUUACAUUUAAAAAAAUUAGCCUACUGCAAUCAUUCUAAACAGCUUGAAUAAAACCUGUCAAUAUUUAUUAUAGACCACUGUAACUGUGUAUAAUCUAACAAACAAGUUUAUUAUGAAAAUAAAAGUGUACACCAGAAAAAAUUGGACGAUAAAGAAAUUGCUAACAAUAGUAUAAUAGAGCAUGUUUUAUGUUUUUAGGCGUUUAGAUGCAGAAAUGGACAAAUAAAAUGUAAAAUAAAAUGUAAUUGAUUUAAUUAAAUAUAGAUUAAUUCUUGUUAGAGCAAAAUAAUAAAUACAUACGUACACACAUUAAAAAAGCAGCCAAGAUGAAUGAGUUUCAUUUUUUUUAUAGAUUCAAAUUGAAGACAGAAGCAGCUGGUAUAUGCGGUCACUUAAUAUUCAAAUCCAGUAGAUCCACUUCAGAUUUAUUUCUCAACAGUUUAUGUUCAAUUGGCUGUUUUCGUUCAUAUUCGCCAAGCUAUUUUGAAAUAAUCUUGUCCGUUAUGUGUUCGUUCGUACGACGAAAGGCAGAAUCCUGCAGCUCGAGAGAUACAUGUUAUUCUGCCAGUGGCGGUGUCAAAUAGUCUUUCACACUUAAACGAGUCACAAACACCUGCAUUUAGCUCUUGCAGUGUUACAAUGGGUUUAUUGUGUGCAUUUGUGGUAAUAUUUUAUUUAAAAAAGCUCUUAAACAAGAAUAAAUUCGUUUGUUUUGAGCUCGACACUGUAAGCGCUGAUCGGAGCGGUGAUUUCAGAUAGGCAGCCACAAAUAUUUAAUUUUCACACAAACAGUUCAAAAACAUCUGAAUUUAGCUCUUGGUGUGUUCUAAUUGGUUGAUUGUGUGAUAUCGCUGUAAUAAUUUAUUUUUAAAAGCUUUAAAACAGGAAUAAAUUCGUUUUUUCUGAGCUCUUUACUCCAGACGCUCGUGAUCAGAGCGGUGAUUCAUCUCUCCUAUUUCUCACGUAUCUCUGGCCAGAAAUUAUUUAUCCAUGAGCCCUGAACCGGUAAUAAUCAGAUAUGUUGGUUUAGCUUGUCAGUGUGAAUUAAAUCUAAGUAUGUAUUUGUAUUUUUAACCGAUUUAAAAGUGAAAGUAAAAGUCCGGUAAUUGCACCUGUAGGGGCGCUAUUUCUCUCAGACAAUGGAAGUCUGAAGCACAUAUACUCAAACAGAGGGACAGAGUGAGAUGAGAUGUCUGACAGUUUUUUAAUUUUCUGUUAUCCAUACAGUGUUGUAAAGUCGUGAAACUAUCCAUAUUUACUCAGAAUGACUUUUUUUCUGUAUGAAAAAAGGUUUUGAAGUGUUUGGAAUUUAAAAAUGCAGGACAAUUAAUAAUUCCAUUUUUAUUGUCAUUUAAAAAAAUCACCAUGACAAAACCGUUCAAGCUAUCCAAAAUCCAUUGGCAAUUUAAGUUGUUUAAAAUGUUUUGGCAUCAUGUAGACAAAGUUUGGUGUGUAUAGUGUUACUCUCCUCUGAGCAGUAUGCAUUAAUUCACAGCUAAAUGUAAAAAAAAAAUCCACAUUCAAAUCAAAAUAGCUGACUUCCUGUUGAUCGUAGCUGAUGACUGUGAAUUAGAAAGUUGUCCGUGUUGAUAAGAACAAUUUUUGUACCGAGUUUGGUGUCUGUAGCUAAAACUAACCCCCCCACUUUUGACAAAAGGUGGCGCUAUAGAGUGCCUCUUCCACGCCCUUUUAAAAGCUUUUUCCAUUGUCUAGCUAUCAAGAAUACUGAUAUGUGUUUUGAGUUUCAUGUAAAUCUGAGGUUGUUAUCUGCCUCAAAAUCACCAUAACAGAAUAUUCAAGUUUGACACGUUGCCAUGGCAACAAUAUAUAAGAUAUCAAUAUCCCCACAACAGAUUUACAUCGGCCAUGUUUUGUCAUUAUUCUGAUGAAGUUUGAAGCAAAUCGAGUAAAAAUAAGAUGCUGAAUUCAAAGCAUUUUGAAAAUGACUCACUUCCUGCUGCCAGUUGGUGGCGCUAUAACGUUGACUCUUAAUAAUCACAUAUAUACGAUCGGUAUCAUACAUCGAACAAACCGAUGAAGUUUGAUCAAACUCAGGCAAUGUAUGUGGAUGUUAUUAGGCAUUUCCUGUUUCUCACUUUUUGCCCUAAUUUCAACGCCUCGCCACGGGCAAACCGUUCGAGAUAUAAAAAAUCCCCUCGCAAUUUUUCAUCCCCAAUGUCUUGAGAUCAUGUUCACCGAGUUUGGUGGCAAUCAUGUAAAAAACCUAUGACAAGUAUAUCAAAUUCCAGAACAUGCUUUUUUUAAACAGCCAUGAAUAGCUGACUUCCUGUUGGGCGGAGCCUUUGACAUAGAGCGCGAAAGUUGUUCAGCUCAAUGAGAUCUACAAGUGUACUGAGUUUCAUAUAAAUAUAUGCAAGUGUGUGUGAGCUAUGGUUCAAGAUUUCUGACUGUGUUCCAGGGGGCGCUGUAGAGCCCCUGUGCCACGCCCGGGUCCCAGUCUCUGCGGCGUCCUGAUGGCCGCAGAUUCCAAUGUGUGUGCCAAUUUUCAAGAGUUUUUGAGCAUGUUAAGGCCCCCAAAAACCCCCGGAAGGUUUAAUAAAAAAUAAAAAAAAUAAUAAUAAUAAUAAUAAGAAAAAGAAUAAUCCUUAGGGGAACAAUAGGGCUCUUCGCCCCUUCGGGCUUGAGCCCUAAUGACAGACUGAAUGAAAGAUCUCCACUAAAAACAGAUGAACUGCAGGCGGUCGGGUUAGACUACAAGACUCGGAAUACUGGAGUAAUGAUAUCCUGUUUGUAAGAGAGGGAAAUCAUGGGAUCAUUUGAGGUGUGGUAGGUGAGAAUGGGUGAAGGGCAGGGCAAAGAUAAUGGAUAACUAUAGCUGUUUUAACCUGGUAAACAGUACCGCAAGAGUUAUGUAAGAGGCCAUUAAGAAUAGCGCUCUUGAAUGUUACAGGCAACAACAGGGCUCUUUUAGAGGAAAAGGAAGCAUCACAUAUUUGAGUGGCAUCCUAUUUCCUCUGUCUUACUCUUAUUCUUUUGCAACUUUACAUGCAGUAUUUCUCAAGUCUCUGCAGCGUUCUUCUUAAAAAAUGUAGUUUUUCUUGUGACCUGUACUGUAAAUGUGAACAACAAAAUGAAUAGUUACAACUCUCUCUCUCAAUGUAUUUUUCUCAUACAACGGUACCUUUUCCCAUUCUCAAAAU